CCAGAAUUUGAGAAUGUCGGGGCCCCGAACCGACCCGUUCUACCAUAACAAAGCAAUUGCUUUACCUUUUCAGUCAUCUUCCCCCACUCCCAGAUUUCCCCCACUUUUUUCUCUGUUCUUGUUCUCUUCUCCCUCCCACCCCUCGACUGCGUCAACAUCACAGAAGCUCCAGAUCGGAGAAGACGAUAGGCUUAACUCGGCUGUUGACCACCCAAUCUGGUCCGACUCGCCCAGUUACACAUGACUCUUGACUCAGUCGACGACCUCAUCGCCACGAUCCAAGACUGGACUGCCAUGGCUGACGAUAAGUCCAUCGGCAUCGAGAAUUAUGAACCAUCAACACGAGAAGACAGCAUCAGGAGUUCAAGUUGGUCAACAUGUCUCUGUUUAUUGUGAAUCUUCUUCGUGUGCACUGUGGCCUGCCUAGGUUUAUUAAACCACCGACAUCACCGAAGCAGCAGCUGUAGAAAAUUGCGUUUGGGGAAAGGCAAUGGAAUUAAGGCGUUUUUCUUCAAUCCUAACAAAGAACCUAUCCUCAAAGAAGCGCUCAAGGUUCUUGUUUCACCUACUACUACUAUCUCUGUCCACACCCAUUUCUUCAAUCCCAACGAAGAACCUAUCCUCAGAGAAGAUCUUAAGCCCAUUUUUUCAAUAAUUCAUAGAUUACCCAUGCUUAAUUUGGUUGAAUGAUGUGUUUGGAAUCUAUGUGUUGUUGUUUUAUCUGAUACUUUGGAUCUUGAUCUACGCGUUGGUAUGGUUUUCUUUUA